GUCAACUUAAAAAAAAAACAGAAGUUGUUCAACCCCUAGUCAGUAGAUCAUCUUCAGAUCCAGCACUUUCAGGUCUGAUGACUCGUUCUCAUCAAACAUGACACAACAAUGCAUCUAGAAAUAAAAUCUCUCCUGUAUAAACUAACAAAGAAACAUCAUCUAAAGUCACGGUGAAUAAAGUUAAUCUUCAAGACCAGCACAGAUUCAACUGUAACAUUUUUAUGAGGCUUCAGGUCUGAAGAAUCACCUGAAAGUUCAUACGAAAGAAAAACCACAUUCAUGUUCUUUACCUGCAAAGAGUUUUUCACAUCUAAAGUUUAAACGUUCAUCAGAAGGUACACACUGGUGUGAGAGAUCAUGUGUACUUUCAGUGUGAGAAGAGAGUUUCUCAUGAGUUUCAUUUAUUAAUUUGGUUUGUUUAGACCUUAAUAAAAGAAAGUAGUUAAUAUAUAUAUAUAUAUAUAUAUAUAUAUAUAUAUAUAUAUAUAUUAGUGCUGUCAAUCGAUUAAAAAAAAUUAACUAAUUAAUCGCACAAUUUUUUUAAAUUAAUCGCGAUUAAUCGCGAUUAAUCGCAAUUAAAAGACUGAAACUUUUUGGAUAUGUAAAUGUAAAAUGUAAAUAAUUAAUGUAAACUCAAGACAAAGAAACUAUUUAAAUUCAAAAUAUGAUUGUUUAUUGGAAUUUUUGUUUAACUUGUAACACAGAUUUUCUCAUGUAAACAACAUACCUGCAAUAAACCAUCAAUAUCCUCCAAAUUAACUGUUGGCUUGAAAGCCAUAUUUAUUACAGAAAUAAAAACACAGGCAUGUAAGUACCAUUUGAAUUUCAAAACAAUCAAUGCCAAUAAAAAACAAAAAUGAUUUCCAUGUUGAAUUCUAAGUGGACUGCAAAAAAAUUCCAAAGUAUAGUCAUUGCCAGUGCUUUAAGUGGGCCGGUAUGCACCAGUACUCAGUAUCGCCACUUCCAAAUAUAGCUCUUGAGCGUACCGCCACCUCUCCGUGCGCCCAGAACGUGCUUUUAGCGUACCGGUACGCUCAUUUGGACAUCUGUUUUAAUAGAGGUUUUAAUCUUUUUGCCGAUUUUCAGAGCGCCCUUCACAAUGCAAGCUUCCCAAUUCAUCCCACCCAGAGCAGAAACUACAUUACCCAUUCACCCUUAAGUUAUACAAGUGAAUAGCGCAUGUGUCGCUUUUCCCACUGUUAAGUGUCAACAACUCAACGUGGCCGGAGAAGGUGUGAAACUCGUUGUGAGUUAUACUAAAGCAAAAUCUUGAGUAUUUAUUGUCUGAUAAACAUUAAAAACUGUCUGCGGAGGUUGAGUCGACCUGCCGCCCCCGCUGGCUGUUCAUUGGCUGCAGCAUCUUUUUUCUAAGUUCUAAAAAAAUACCGUAGACGGCAAGGCAAAAAUUUAGAUAUUCAUUUAUCUAAUAAAUCUAUAGCCUAUGCACAAAGACAAUAUGAUCUUUUUGUUCCCUUUUUGUUUUAAAGCUUGAUGAAGAGAGAGAGCGCAAGUUGCUGCAGCUGAGGAGGACAGUGAUGCACGCGUACAGGAGUGAUUGACAGUUCGCGGCACUGUGUACAAAAAAUACUCCGCUACACAAUUAUUUCUUUAUUUUCGUUUAAGCUUAUUAACGUUAGCGUUACAGAAAGGUCUGAUUUACGCACUGUUACAGUCAUUGUUUUUUUUUUUUUAAACAAUGACAUUUGAGUUCAUGAUUUUAAUGUUGCUGUUUCUUGUGGCAGACUGAAUGAAAAUGUUUCUUGUGGCAGACUGAAGAGUAAUCCGGCAGGGUUUUAUACUGAAACUUUCCGUCUAAAAGUCCUUCCUUGGUCUUAUCCAUAUUUCUUUGCACGUUGAACACACAUAGGCCACAACUGGAAAUAAAAAAAACUGCAACCGCGUUAAUUGCGUUAUUUUUUUUUAACGCGUUAAAUAUUUCAAAUUAAUCGAAUGCGUUAACGCGCUAAUUUUGACAGCACUAAUAUAUAUAUAUAUAUAUGCGCUCUUGUUCAAACCUGACUACGUCAGACUUCGUACUUCUGCUCAAUUUCAGUUCACUUCUGUACUCAGUCUGAAAUAACAAACCAUCUCCCAGUUUUCCUCCGGGUCCAAAACAGCCAGCUAAAUCAACUAACAGAGGGCGGACUGAGAGCCGUGACGUAGAUGCUAAGCUCCCAGUUUAACAUUGUAGUUUAGGUUAGAGAAAUCGAAAAUGACAGCAGACAUGGAGUCACGGGAUGCUAUUUGCUCUGUAAUUCGGAAAUUCAUAAUACAGUAAGGCAAGUAUAAUAAAUAUAAUAUUUCAUAAUGUACGAAUAAGUUAAAAUGUACUAUAUGUGACUAAGAAUUAAUAGCAACACAAACAUCUAUAAUGGUAUUGUUCUGACACUUCCUCUUUAAGAAAUCCAAAUGUAGUGCGCAUGCAACUGUAGCACACAUACUUCGAACAGUAACGGAGAAGACGCUGAGGAAUCGAGUGAUUAAUGCUGUUUAACUUGUUAAACGUUUAUUUAAAGGCGUGUAAAAGGAAGAAAUGGAAAUACUUAUCUGAGCUGCAUCCUAAACGAUUAACUUUGGGUGAACGAUAUCUGUUGGAGAGUUAUUGUUUUUACUGUAUCUGCUGAUUAGUACAAGAGUGUAAUAUGACAUAUCAAAAGCUAAAUUGUUUAACAAUGGAUUUUAAUGAAGUAUUAAUGUAUGCUGUUUAUAAUAAAAUUUAAUUGAAUAAAACACUGGCAUAGUGAGUAAAGAAUGCCUUUUCUGACUCCAAUUUGAGCUGUUUUGAAUAGCGUUGUGCCUUAUGGUUUUGUAACUUGCGCAUAGAUAAGCCAGCUCGUAAACUUCUGAUAAAGCUGAUUUAAUGUUGUGGCUUAUAUAGGUACAGAAACUUCUGCCUAGUUAUUGUCAGAAUUUUUUUUUUAAUUGCUACAUGAUAAAUAAUGAUAGCAUAACAGUAAUUAUAGAUGAUGCCAUUAACAUAGUUUUAUGUUAUCUAAGAACACAUAAUUUUAUAUGUCAAGCCUGGUAAUCAUAUAAACAUUAAAAUGCCAACAACUAAACACUAUAGUAACUGUUUAGGCCAGUGGUUUUCAAACUUUAUACCAUGUACCAACUCAGAAAAUAUUUAACUCUCCAAGUACCACCAUACCAGCAUUAAAAUUCAGUAGCACAGUAGGCCUAACUAUUAAAACUAUUAAAAACCAGGCAGUUUUAUCCCUAAUAAUAAUAUUUACUGUUGUCAGCCACUUUAAUAUUGUUAAUAUACAGUUUGAAAAUUAACAUUAACAUUGCACUGUACUUACAAACAGGUACAUAAAAAAAACUUAAAUUAAAUUGUUGUACCUAAAAGUUCAGUAAAAACUGUAUUGCACUUAAAUGUAAAAACAACUUUAUUCAAAUAAAGAUCAAGUUAAAAUGUAUUGUGUUUUAAAAUGAAUUAAUAAUUAACUUGUGGAUCAUAUGAGUCUUAAUCAUGAUAAAAUCACUUCUGCAUUUCCCUUUAAAAACAUUGCAAUUAAUCAAUUUCUGAAUAUUAUAAUAAUAAGUGGAUCUCUUGUGUGCAACUGUGGAUUGCGUGUGCGAGUAUGGAUCUCUCCUGUAUUUUUUAUUUAUUUAUUUUUUUUGGGGGGAGGUUUUGAUACUGUUUUCACUCCAUAAUGGCAACAGCGAUAUGUCGUAUGUUUGCUUGUAGCGUCAGACUUAUAUCAUGUUUUGCUCCAAAAACACUAGGGAAACAGAAUUUUCCGUUUAAUUUGAUUUACGUAGUUGCAUCACGUUCCAUUCGUGUACAUGCAGGGGGCGGGGUUUAUGAGCUGAACUUCUCAGGACUCACGCAGCAAACAAGUCUUUUUGGCGUCUGAAACUCCUUACCCGAGAGCUUUUUUUGGAAAGAGAGAAGGUUUUACAUAAAAGUCUGUCCGUAAUGCGAGGUAGCUUCGUGCAAAGCGCUUUUAUUUAAGUCACCGCCUGAUGAGGCACAAAGAGCCGAAGCUUUAUACGUGGCGUCUUCUGAGGAUCACCUUCAGUGAAGCUCCUCCCACUGCAGUUCAUCAAUAAAUGCUGGAAUAUUCCAAUCAGUCUACAAGUGAAGAGGAGCAUCAAAGCAUCAGGAAGAAGUGAAAUCUGCAGAGACAGAGUUUAUUGAAGAACAGAGAGAACAUGAGAGAUCCAGAACCCUGCAGAAUGAAACACACUGAAGAACAAACAGAGUUGAUUGAAAAAAACGAGGAGCAUGAAGAACUGAAUAAAGAGGAGGACAAACAUGUCAAAACUGGAGAAAACUCUCUGAGUCGCUCUCAAACCAAACAGAAAGAUUUAAAGAAAAGAAGAGACAAGAAAUCUUUCACCUGCACUCAGUGUGGAAAGAGUUUCCCAAAAAAGCAUAGUCUUGAGAUGCACAUGAUGAUCCACACUGGAGAGAAACCUUACAGAUGUGAUCGGUGUGGGAAGAGUUUUACUGCAUCAUCAAACCUUAAGAUACACAUGAACAUCCACACUGGAGAGAAACUUUAUGAAUGUGAUCAAUGUGGAAAAACAUUUUUGACGGCUACAAACCUGAAGAUUCACCUGAAAGUUCAUUCAAAGGAGAAACCACAUUCAUGUUCUUUGUGUGGAAAGAGGUUUUCACGUCUGCAGAGUUUACAAGUACAUCAGAAGAUACACAGUGAUGUGAGAGAAUAUAUGUGCUUUGAGUGUGAGAAGACUUUUAUUACAGCUGGACAUUUGAAAUGGCACGAGAGGAUCCACACUGGAGAGAAACCUUACAAGUGUUCACACUGUGACAAGAGAUUCAAUCAGUUAGGACAUCUGAAAAGACACGAGAGGAUCCACACUGGAGAGAAACCUUACAAGUGUUCACACUGUGACAAGAGAUUCAAUCAGUUAGGAGACCUGAAAAGACACGAGAGGAUCCACACUGGAGAGAAACCUUACAAGUGUUCACACUGUGACAAGAGAUUCAGUCAGUUAGGAGACCUGAAAACACAUGAGAGGAUCCACACUGGAGAGAAACCUUACAAGUGUUCACACUGUGACAAGAGAUUCAAUCAGUUAGGAGACCUGAAAACACAUGAGAGGAUCCACACUGGAGAGAAACCUUACAAGUGUUCACACUGUGACAAGAGAUUCAGUCGGUUAGGACAUCUGAAAAGACACGAGAGGAUCCACACUGGAGAGAAACCGUAUCACUGCACUGUAUGUGGGAAGAGUUUCAGUCAAUCAUCUAAUCUACUCGUGCAUAUCAAAAACAUUCACAGUCAGUAGUAGGGGAUACACAGACUUAUCGACUACUCGACAUCAAUGCUCUGCCAUGACGCUUUAAGCUUGAUGUUGAUUAGUCGCUGGUCCUAUAGGUGGUUUUCACGGACGCGUCAUCAAUCCGGAAGUCAGCCAUGUUGGAGCAAAUGAACAUUAACAAUGCCACUGAACGGACUCGCAAAUUUGACUGAUAAUUGCUGAUUAAAGAAGGCGUUUGUGGUUGAGAGAGGUACAGUUACAGCACAUGUGUAAAUGAAGAGUCGACUAUGGCUUAAAUGUUGAUAGAGUUAACUAUGGCUACAUUCACACUGUUAGUCCAAAUACGAUUAUCUUUGCAUCCGAUUGGAAUCUGAUCUAAAAUAAUGAUGUUCACACUGUAUAUCACAACUGUUCAGAUCUGAUUUGUGUACCAUGCAGCUCUUUGGCAAUGCGGGAAUGACGUUGCGUUGAUGGAGGUGUUUACAUUUGCGAUAGAUAUGUUGUUUUAUUUAAAUUUUACAACUUGGAAAUGUGUACCCGAUGCACUGGACUACUGCGUCUUGAGCUGCAGAACUGUAGGAGGCUGGUAUGUAACGUUACUGUCACGAUCGGCGUUUCAGGAACGAGAUGAGAGAACCAUGUGCAGGUAUGUAUCAUUUAUUAAAGGGAUAAUCCAGAGGGGUAAACAGUCCAGGCAGGGUCAAAACCAGAGAAUCCAAAUCAGAACAUUAACAGGACACGAAGACAAGGCAAGGCAAGACAAGACAAGGCAAGGCAAGGAUGACGGACAUGAAAUAACCUGACAUUAAACAAGGACUCCGUAACACAGACUAAGACAGACUGGGUAUAAAUAGACAGAAGGAUAAUGAGGGAACAAGAGAAUGGUGGGGGACAAUCAAUUAACUUAACAAGGAGGAAGGUGACCAUAUAAGGGAGGAGGAAGUGAUCUGGGACAGAGACCAGGAGGGAGGCGGACAGGUGGAGGCUCAGGGGGAGGGACGGAGGGCCGGAAAAGGAACCCAUGGGGGACAAACACCAGAAAUGUAACAUAAAACAUGGAGAACCAGGAGGGAGGAGGAACGGAGGAGGUUCAGGGGGAGGGAUGGAGGGCCAGAAAAACUAAGGGGAACAGACAGGAACAUCACAGAACUCAAAUACACAAAACAGAAGUCCAUAAAGGGGAUGUUGAGGCGCCCACCAGGGCGGAGCGGAAGACCACCACGGCCUUGUGGUCAAAGUCAGAGCCCUCCAGGGCGGAGCGGAAGACCACCACGGCCUUGUGGUCAAAGUCAAAGCCCUCCAGGGCAGAGCGGAAGACCACCACAUCUUUGUGGUCAGGGCGGAAACCCCCCAGGGUGGAGCGGAUGACCACCACGUCUUUGUGGUCGAGGCCGGAGUCCACCAGGGCGGAGCGGAAGACCACCACAGCUUUGUGGUCAAAGUCAGAGUCCCCCAGGGCGGAGCGGAUGACCACCACCUCUUUGUGGUCAGGGCGGAAGCCCCCCAGGUCCAAGUGGAAGACCACCACAGCCAUGUGGUCAGGACGAGAGUCCCCCAGGACGGAGCAGCAGACCACCACGUGACCUGACCCGACUCCGGAGAGUCCACCGGAAUCUGACCCGACUCCGGAGAGUCCACCGGGACCUGACUCAACUCUGGAUCGGGUGCCACCUCGGCCUCUGGAACAGCGUCGGGCACCGCCUCGGCCUCUGGAACAGCAACGGGAACCGCCUCGGCCUCCGGAACAGCAUCGGGCACCGCCUCUGCCUCCGGGACAGCAUCGUGCACCUUAUCUGGAGACUCAGGGUUUGGGUCGGCCAUCUUGUGCGGUGGCGCUGGGCUGGCGGCCAUCUUGUGCUGUGGCGCUGGGCUAUCUGCCAUCUUGUGCUGUGGCGCUGGGCUGGCGGCCAUCUUGUGCUGUGGCGCUGGGCUGGCGGCCCUCUUGUACUGUGGCGCUGGACCGGUGGCCAAUUUGGGCAUUGGCGCCGGGUUAGCGGCCAUCUUGUACUGUGGCGCUGGGCUGGCGGCCAUCUCGUGCUGUGGCACUGGGCUGGUGGCCAUCUUGUGUUGUGGCGCUGGACUGGCGGCCAUCUUGUACUGUGGCGCUGGACCGAUGGCCAAUUUGGGCAUUGGCGCUGGGUUAGCGGCCAUCUUGUACUGUGGCGCUGGGCUGACGGCCAUCUUGUGCAGUGGUGCUGGGCUGACGACCAUCUUGGGCAGUGGUGCUGGGCUGACGACCACCCCGCCGGAAGAGACAGGAGUGGCUGGGGCAUCCCACCGACACCGAUGCUGCAGAUCCGCUUCAACCACACACAAACAUCCAGUAAAGCCCCUCCAGCAACCAUCACACCUUCAAAGAAGCUCCUCCCACAACAAUAACACCUUCAGUGAAGCUCCUCCCACAACAACCACGCCUUCAGUGAAGCUCCUCCCACAACGAUCACACCUUUAGUGAAAC